UACGGGGGGGGCAAGCGUUGUUCGGAAUUACUGGGCGUAAAGGGCUCGUAGGUGGCCAACUAAGUCAGACGUGAAAUCCCUCGGCUUAACCGGGGAACUGCGUCUGAUACUGGUUGGCUUGAGUUUGGGAGAGGGAUGCGGAAUUCCAGGUGUAGCGGUGAAAUGCGUAGAUAUCGAGAGGAACACCUGCGGCGAAGGCGGGUUGCUGGGCUGACACUGACGCUGAGGCGCGAAAGCUAGGGGAGCGAACGGG
rnacentral:rRNA from 1 species